CAGAACCAUUGGUCUUACACGGUAAAGCAAGCUCACGUGAGAGAGGGAACGCCUACUUACAGAGACAGGAACCGUGAAAAAUGUUUACAAUGUUGUGUAUACGCCAGGUUACUGUAGCAGGGUUUUACAUCGAUCCACAAGAACAAAAGAACAAAACACAGGACCGACGCUGGAGUAGAGAAGCAGGUACGGGGGAGUCAAACAUUCAAUCGGAACAGACAUGGAACAAGACAGGACCAGCAUUAGCACAAGGACAUAUGACAAUCAAUGCUGAAUCGGGGAACAGACAUAUAGGGGAAGUAAUGACAGAGGUCCAGGAGUCCAGCGUAAACAUGAAAUCUUUGGCACUUGUUGUCCUGCUGUGCCUUGCCUGCGGUCUGAUGUCUUCCUCAUUCGUACUCGCGUCGCCGCAUAUGUGGAGUAAGUUGAUCCUAACUCAACACUGGCCAAGCACGUUUUGCAGUAUGGAACACUGUGAUCCUAAAUUUGACUACUGGACUUUGCAUGGACUGUGGCCAGAUAAAGGCCAGGAAUGCAAUUCAUCUUGGCACUUCAAUGUAACUCUAAUCCAGGACCUACUUCCAGAUAUGCAGAAGUGGUGGCCGGAUCUUAUAACUCCAGCAUCCUCUGAAUUCUGGCAAUAUGAAUGGCAAAAACAUGGAACGUGUGCUGCAAAAGCAGAGUCCCUAAACAGUCAACACAAAUACUUUGGCAAAGUCCUGGAGCUGUAUCACACAUUAGACCUUGAUGGAGUGAUGAAGAAAUUUAACAUUGUGCCCUCGGAGACUUACUAUACGUUUGACCACAUCGAAGGAAUCAUUCUCAACUUCUACAGUGUGAAACCAAAGAUUCAGUGUAUUCAUCCAAAGGGUGGGAAGGUGCAAAUCUUGGGCCAGAUCGAGAUCUGCUUCAACUCAGACUUCCAACUUGCCAACUACCUGGGCCUCAUGCAAGGCAUGGAAACAUACUGAAGAGCUUCAUCUGUUUGUGGCCGGUGGGCAACUGGGCCGAAAGGAAGUAAUUUCACCUUGAGUCAUCGCUGGUUCUCCCUGACCAGAGUGAGCGGUAAAAGUAAGGCUGAGUUCGUCUUCGCCUCGUUGACCGAAGACGAGGGUCCUUAUGAAGAGCUCCUGAAUACACCAGAGGAUAUUAUAAUAUAACAGUAUUUGUGUUUUAUAUGAGAGCUGAAAGAACAGGAGACGUACAUGAAGACCAGACAGAUACGGGCGGCUGACAUUCUGGGUCCUGAUGGAUUGCUCUCUAUGGAUCACAGCACCCCUGGCUUUGGGUGAGAUAAGCUUAAUCAGCCACGGACCUGGCUACAGCCCAGAUACUUCUCCACCUCUGUAUCUCUGUCUCCAAGCAUUCUAUAGCUCGUAUUUUCCAUGCCUAACUACAGUCCUUCCAGCCAUUUAGACACAGCAAAGCAGUACCUAGGCAAGGUUUUGGACCGCACUGAUAACCAUGGCAUUUCUCAUUAAUGUGCAUCCUGAUAUUUGAGGGUCAAGGCCGGUCUUUCGGGAUAAUUACGUUUUACUUACGUAAAAGACAUUUCUUUUCACGUGAGUGAGCAUGAACGAUGGCUCAAAUUAUGUGCUCAGUGAAUAUAUAUUAAGGUACCUUCUUAAACAAGAAAAAUGUUAAGCCAUACUCUGUAUCAGAGAUUUGACACAUUUAUUUUAAUUCAUGUCUACCUCUAACAAGGAACAGUAUUAUGACUUGGUAAUUCAAUACAGUUUAGGUGAAUGUCAAAUCCUCUGAAGGAAUAUUUAAAUCUAUAAUAUGAUUUAAACAGUACAGUAAUGUGGAUAUACUACUACAAUCCUCCCAUGUCAUAGUAGUUGAUUUAUGGUAUGAUUUGAACAUAAAUGUAAGGUUCUGAUAUACUGUAAAAAAAAAUAUAUAUAUCAGCAUUACCGUAUGUGCAGGCUAAGGUUCAGAUCUACUACUGUAUUCAGGCAGUUAUUAUGCUUCAGCUCCAUGGGGACCGGUGCAGUAUGGGAGACAAACAUAAUCUGUUUGAAAGAUCACUUGAUUUCUUUCUGCUAAUUUCUUUGUGCUAAACAGCUUUGCAUUGGUCUGUAAUACAGAUAUGUGCCUUUAGUUAUGCUCGAACCCUGUCCUUGUGUAACUGUUUGAUUUCUCCACCUGCCCGCACUUCCUAUGUCACUCCAAUGCUAAUUAUCUCUGUAUACUGCAUAGUAUAAACUGUUCACACUGCACUAUAAUACUAUUUAUGGGGAAUUAUGCAUUAUAGUUUACAAUUGGCUCAUUCAUCCCCCUCUCCCCUGUAACUAUUCCCCAGGUCGUUGCUGUAAAUGAGAAUGUGUUCUCAGUCAACUUACCUGGUAAAGUAACGGAAAAAUAAAUAAAUAGUUUGUCCUGUGUAAUCCUCUGUUUAAUCAUUAAUGUGAUCAGAAGAUUAAUUGAUAGUUUCAGUCAGUGGCAGUCGUGACGUUUAAGAUGAGGGAGCAUGUUCUUUUUUUUUAUGAGCAUGGUCUUAUUUCUAUUACAGCAUAUUGGAUGACUGUCAUUCAUAUUCCAUUCACCCAGCUCAAUGUAACAUUGAUAGGUUUAGGCUACUACAUGAUGUUCAAAUUUACUCUAUACCUAUCAUAAGGUUGUGACAAUCCAGCCUAUGAAUGAAAGUUUACAACGUAGGUGCACACAGGUUGAGAGACAAAUUAGAGUAAUUAAGGUGACAGACAGCGACACAUUCAAUACCGUCUUGCACACUUGCCUGCAACUAGCUGAUCUAGGGUGUAAUCAUUAGACCAACAGUUACAAACAAGAGUUUUUAUUGGACAAAUUCAGGUAUGUUUAUCCCUGUUUCGUUCCGUUUGCUUCCAUUUUAAGAAAUGUUCAACAUAAUCGGAGGAAUGAAUACACCCCUGAUCACACGCAAACACAGUUCACAAUCAUAGCAGCCACAUACAAACGGCAUGAUAAUUUUGCUCGUUUUAGAAUUCCUUCUCGCAUCUAUUCGCUCUCCGUCCUCUCACCUUUUCCCUUUGCUUGUGGACCUCAGUGCACAACACAUCAGGUGGUGAAAUCAAUGAGGCACUGAAAUUAAUGUUUUUCUUAUUGAAAAUCUAUUUCCUUACUAAUGGGUGUCUAGGUAGUGCAAGAUUUAGUUUUGGCUGGCACACAACCUCGUCACUGAUUUCUAUUAGUUUCCUUUAUUGAUGUUGAUUUGUAUCUGUCAUAGUCUGAGCCUAGAGGAAACAUGCACCUAAUUAUUAUCAGGAGGCGCAGCACUUGUACCCUUAUAGAACCUCAGACUGGGGGCGAAGAUUCACCUUCCAACAGGACAAUGACCCUAAGCACACAGCCAAGACAA